rnacentral:SRP_RNA from 1 species
GCUGGGUGUGGUGGCACGUGCCUGUAGUCCCAGCUACUCGGGAGGCUGAGGUGGGAGGAUCACUUGAGCCCAGGAGUUCUGGGCUGUAGUGCGCUAUGCUGAUAGGGUGUCUGCACUAAGUUCGGCAUCAAUAUGGUGACCUCCCAGGAGCGGGGGACCACCAGGUUGCCUAAGGAGGGCUGAACCGGCCCAGGUCGGAAACAGAGCAGGUCAAAACUCCCGUGCUGAUCAGUAGUGGGAUCUUGCCUGUGAAUAGCCACUGCACUCCAGCCUGGGCAACAUAGCGAGACCCCGUCUCU